GACGAACGCUGGCGGCGUGCUUAACACAUGCCAGUCGAACGGAAAGGCCCUGCUUUUGUGGGGUGCUCGAGUGGCGAACGGGUGAGUAACACGUGAGUAACCUGCCCUUGACUUUGGGAUAACUUCAGGAAACUGGGGCUAAUACCGGAUAGGAGCUCCUGCUGCAUGGUGGGGGUUGGAAAGUUUCGGCGGUUGGGGAUGGACUCGCGGCUUAUCAGCUUGUUGGUGGGGUAGUGGCUUACCAAGGCUUUGACGGGUAGCCGGCCUGAGAGGGUGACCGGCCACCUUGGGACUGAGGUACGGCCCAGACUCCUACGGGAGGCAGCGGUGGGGAGUAUUGCACAAUGAGCGGAAGCCUGAUGAGGCAACGCCGCGUGCGGGAUGACGGCCUUCGGGUUGUGAACCGCUUUCGCCUGUGACGAAGCGUGAGUGACGGUAAUGGGUAAAGAAGCACCGGCUAACUACGUG
rnacentral:rRNA from 1 species